rnacentral:sRNA from 1 species
CUUCCUCCACCUGCUGUGGACAAAUAAAGUGAAUGUGCGCAUCGAUGGCACCUGCGGUAAGAAUUGAACCCUCACCGGCAAUAAUUUCCGUCCCGGGGCCAAUGACAAUAUCAACCGCCUCCUGCACAUCGGGAUUACCGGCUUUACCAACAGCGGUAAUUCGGCCGUUUUUCACCGAUACAUCGGCCUUUACCACGCCCCAGUGGUCGAGAAUCAGUGCAUUGGUAAUCACCAGAUCGGGCGUUUCCUCACACGAACGCUGACUCUGUCCCAUUCCGUCACGAAU